AAUGAACGUUGGCGGCGUGGAUUAGGCAUGCAAGUCGAGCGAGAAUUUGCGAUUGGAAGCUUCGGCCGAAGAAAGUGAAGGAAAGCGGCAAACGGCGUAGUAAGGCGUAGGUACGUACCCUCGGGUCGGGAAUAGCCAUGGGAAACUGUGGGUAAUGCCCGAUAAUCUCUGCGGAGCAAAGGUGUGAUUCCGCCGGAGGAGCGGCUUACGUGAUAUUAGCUAGUUGGUGGGGUAAUGGCCUACCAAGGCAACGAUGUCUAGGGGGUGUGAGAGCAUGGCCCCCACGACCGGAACUGAGACACUGUCCGGACACCUACGGGUGGCUGCAGUCGAGAAUCUUCCGCAAUGGGCGAAAGCCUGACGGAGCGACGCCGCGUGGUGGAUGAAGGCCCUUGGGUUGUAAACACCUGUCAGAGGGGAUGAAAUCAUGGUUGGCAAUCCUUCCAUGUUGACAGAGCCUCAGAGGAAGCACGGGCUAAGUACGUGCCAGCAGCCGUACGG
rnacentral:rRNA from 1 species